AUUGAACGCUGGCGGCAGGCCUAACACAUGCAAGUCGAGCGGAGCGGCGGACGGGUGAGUAAUGCCUAGGAAUCUGCCUGUGAGUGGGGGAUAACGUCCGGAAACGGGAGCUAAUACCGCAUACUAUCAGAUGAGCCUAGGUCGGAUUAGCUAGUUGGUGGGGUAAAGGCCUACCAAGGCGACGAUCCGUAGCUGGUCUGAGAGGAUGAUCAGUCACAAUGGAACUGAGACACGGUCCAGACUCCUACGGGAGGCAGCAGUGGGGAAUCUUGGGCAAUGGGCGAAAGCCUGAUCCAGCCAUGCCGCGUGAGUGAAGAAGGUCUUCGGAUUGUAAAGCUCUGUAAGUAGGGAGGCGUUACCUACAGAAUAAGCACCGGCUAACUCCGUGCCAGCCGCCGCGGUAAUAC
rnacentral:rRNA from 1 species